GACGAACGCUGGCGGCGUGCUUAACACAUGCAAGUCGAGCGGUAAGGCCCUUUCGGGGGUACACGAGCGGCGAACGGGUGAGUAACACGUGGGUGACCUGCCCUCAGCUCUGGGAUAAGCCUGGGAAACCGGGUCUAAUACUGGAUAUGACUCCAUGACGCAUGUUGUGGGGUGGAAAGCCUUGUGCGGCUGAGGAUGGGCCCGCGGCCUAUCAGCUUGUUGGUGGGGUGANGGCCUACCAAGGCGACGACGGGUAGCCGGCCUGAGAGGGCGACCGGCCACACUGGGACUGAGACACGGCCCAGACUCCUACGGGAGGCAGCAGUGGGGAAUCUUGCGCAAUGGGCGAAAGCCUGACGCAGCGACGCCGCGUGAGGGAUGACGGCCUGGUUGUAACGUAC
rnacentral:rRNA from 1 species